AUUGAACGCUGGCGGCAGGCCUAACACAUGCAAGUCGAGCGGAUGAAGGGAGCUUGCGCCUGGAUUCAGCGGCGGACGGGUGAGUAAUGCCUAGGAAUCUGCCUGGUAGGGGGGGAUAACGUCCGGAGACGGGCGCUAAUACCGCAUACGUCCUGAGGGAGAAAGUGGGGGAUCUUCGGACCUCACGCUAGCAGGUGAGCCUAGGUCGGGUUAGCUAGUUGGUGGGGUAAAGGCCUACCAAGGCGACGAUCCGUAACUGGUCUGAGAGGAUGAUCAGUCACACUGGAACUGAGACACGGUCAAGACUCCUACGGGAGGCAGCAGUGGGGAAUAUUGGACAAUGGGCGAAAGUAUGAUACAGCCAUGCCGAGUGUGUGAAGAAGGUCUUCGGAUUGUAAAGCCCUUUAAGUUGGGAGGAAGGGCAGUAAGUUAAUACCUUGCUGUUUUGACGUUACCAACAGAAUAAGCACCGGCUAACUUCGUG
rnacentral:rRNA from 1 species